rnacentral:rRNA from 1 species
AGUGAACGCUGGCGGUAUGCCUAACACAUGCGAGUCGAACGGCAGCACAGUAAGAGCUUGCUCUUACGGGUGGCGAGUGGCGGACGGGUGAGGAAUACAUCGGAAUCUACUUUUUCGUGGGGGAUAACGUAGGGAAACUUACGCUAAUACCGCAUACGACCUACGGGUGAAAGCAGUGGAGCUUCGGACCUUGCGCGAUUGAAUGAGCCGAUGUCGGAUUAGCUAGUUGGCGGGGUAAAGGCCCACCAAGGCGACGAUCCGUAGCUGGUCUGAGAGGAUGAUCAGCCACACUGGAACUGAGACACGGUCCAGACUCCUACGGGAGGCAGCAGUGGGGAAUAUUGGACAAUGGGCGAAAGCCUGAUCCAGCCAUACCGCGUGGGUGAAGAAGGCCUUCGGGUUGUAAAGCCCUUUUGUUGGGAAAGAAAAGCAGCAGGUUAAUACCCCGCUGUUCUGACGGUACCCAAAGAAUAAGCACCGGCUAACUUCGUG